AAUCCCUUAUCGAUUAACAAUUAGAGGGCAAGUCUGGUGCCAGCAGCCGCGGUAAUUCCAGCUCUAAUAGCGUAUAUUAAAGUUGUUGCAGUUAAAAAGCUCGUAGUUGGAUUUCGGCGUGCGCUCAGGCUGGUCGGCCGUCAAGGUCUGUACCGUUUGGGUCACGCCCCACUGUAGGAUACUCACCGCUGUCCUUAACUGGGUGGCGGUCAAAGGGGGUGUGCAUGGGGGCAACUCUGUGCAUAUCUCUGGGGUUCCUACUCUUUUACUUUGAGCAAAUUAGAGUGUUCAAAGCAGGCAAUCGAGCCUUGAAUACUUCAGCAUGGGAUAAUGGAACAGGACUGGGGUCCUGAUUUCGUUGGUUUCUGGGAUCUCAGUAAUGAUUAAUAGGGAUAGUUGGGGGCAUUAGUAUUUAAUUGUCAGAGGUGAAAUUCUUGGAUUUAUGAAAGACUAACUUCUGCGAAAGCAUUUGCCAAGGAUGUUUUCAUUAAUCAAGAACGAAAGUUAGGGGAUCGAGGACGAUCAGAUACCGUCGUAGUCUUAACCAUAAACGAUGCCGACCAGCGAUUGGGAGACGUUACAUGGAUGACUCCCCCAGCAGCUUGCGAGAAAUCACAAGUCUUUGGGUUCCGGGGGGAGUAUGGUCGCAAGGCUGAAACUUAAAGGAAUUGACGGAAGGGCACCACCAGGAGUGGAGCCUGCGGCUUAAUUUGACCCAACACGGGGAAACUUACCAGGUCCAGACAUAGUAAGGAUUGACAGAUUUGAGAGCUCUUUCUUGAUUCUAUGGGUGGUGGUGCAUGGCCGUUCUUAGUUGGUGGAGUGAUUUGUCUGGUUAAGUCCGUUAACGAACGAGACCUUAACCUGCUAAAUAUGUCACUGGUAGACUUCUGCCAAAACAGGUGGGUGUCUAGGGGAAAGUUUCGAUGGACUCCGACGCAUUCAUCUGUGGAUGACUACCAGGAUGUACUUCUUAGAGGGACUAUCUGUAUCAAAGCAGAUGGAAGUUUGAGGCAAUAACAGGUCUGUGAUGCCCUUAGAUGUUCUGGGCCGCACGCGCGCUACACUGACAAGUUCAACGAGUUUAACACCUUGCUCGAUAGGGCUGGGUAAUCUUUGAAAAACUUGUCGUGAUGGGGAUAGAUCAUUGUAAUUAUUGGUCUUCAACGAGGAAUUCCUAGUAAGCGUGAGUCAUCAGCUCGCGUUGAUUACGUCCCUGCCCUUUGUACACACCGCCCGUCGCUCCUACCGAUUGAAUGAUCCGGUGAAAUGUUGGGAGCUGGGGUCUUUUGGCGGCGGGGCAACUCGUCGUCAGGGAUUCUGCAAACUUCAUUAAACCUUAUCAUUUAGA
rnacentral:rRNA from 1 species